rnacentral:lncRNA from 1 species
AUGUCUUACUACAAGUGCAUUUUACAGUGAUUUUCAACAACCUGAAAAGUGACAUUAUCACAGUGGGAUUUCCGAUCGUCACCUUCCAGAGGUGAACCUCGUCCAGAAGGUCAGUCCAGAUGGAGUUUAAAGCAGUGAUUAGCUACUAAGGCUGCAAAUUCACGGAGGCAGAGUGAGAGCUACAAUCCUCCAAAGCUUCAGAAAUUGGAAUGUGUGCUUCUAAAAUCAAAGACAACUGUUCUUAUUGAUAGCCUGUUCAGAAGGACUGACAGCACAGAGCUUUCUACUUUUCUGUUACUGAAGUAUGGGAGAAGGGAUGGAGAAAAGAUUCUUACGCCCAGGAGAUGGAGAUGGUCUAAGAUUUGGAAGUCACUCAAGGGAAAAGUAACUUAUGGUGCAAUUACUGACUGCGUUUCUAAAGAAUAAUGAGAUGUAUGCUGCUGAGAAGAUCUUGGAAGAGGUGUGAUUAGAGCUCCACUGCCACUGGACAUUAUCAAUUCUGGGAAAAGAGUUCUAAUUGAAGAAGGAAAAAAUCAAGCAUUUUUGACAAGACCUGUGCCAAAGAAAAUUAUGGGAGGCAAAGAUGAAAAGGAACGUGUCCUGAUUGUCUUAUUUUUAAAAGUCCCCAAACAGCAAGCCUAUCAUAGUGACUGCCAAGCAUAUGGUUUAUGGCCUAUACCUUCAACUGAUCCUGAAGAAUGUUUAUGAAGUUGACCUGCCACUAAAGAAUCAACUCAGAAGCACCAGGUUCUUCAUUCUUCCUGAAUCUCUACUAUGUAAAAAUUAAUGUUGAAGGUAGGGUUCUCUAAGGAGAUGAUAAUUACUCAUUAGUUCACAUUAAGACCAUAGGAUUCUUUCCAUGUUUCCCUACUGCAUCCUAUCAAAUAUAUAUAACAUAUAUCUCCACAUGGUCCCACUUCUUAUAAAUGACAUUUGACAUUCUUCCCUGUUUAAAUCAAGUAAUCAACUCACACUCCGGAACUAAAACUGCAUAGUGUUAGUAAUAGCCCUAGGUUCAUAUUUGCUAGGUAUAGAUAUCAUUUCUGCCACACACUUUCUGUGUGAAUUGUGCACUUCAAUUUCCCAGUCUGUACACAAAUAAUACAUCCAAAACGUACAUACUCGCUAAUCCAUAGAGCUGGGAUUUAAACCAUGUCUUUACUUAUCACAUUAAGGAUCAAUUAAAUUUUUGUCAGUUUUAUCUACUUGAAGACUUAGAUUUGGUCUUAUUUUUCUUUGACUUCGUAGCACUUAGCACAUAGUAAAUUCUCCGGAAAUUUAUGUUGAAGGAUUUUGAUUAUUGUUGAAAGUUUGUCCUAUCAUGGGAAAAAAAUCUAAAGAAAUAGUGUCUUUGUGUCGUAUAUUAGAAUCUAAGGAAACUUUCCAAAGAAAAGAAAAUCAUGGACUUGGAGAAUAGACUUGUGGUUGCCAAGGGGUAAGGGGAGGGAGUGGGAGGGACUGGGAGCUUGGAGUAAAUAGAAAAAGAAUGUUGCAUUCGGGAUGGAUUAGCAAUGGAAUCCUGCUGUGUAGCACUGGGAACUCUGUCUAGUCACUUAUGAUGGAACACUUAAUGUGAAAAAAAAGAAUGUAUACAUAUAUGUGUAACUGGGUCACCAUGCUGUACAAUAGAAAUAUAUAUAUAUAUAUAUAUAAAUGAUAAAAAAAUAAAUUUAUUUUUAAGUUUUUUUAAAAAAAGAAAUAGUAUCUUAUAGUCUUGUAGGCAAGAUCAUUUCCAAUCAGGAAAAGUUAGAAAGUUUAGUUAUUGAAAAUUAUAUUUUCUUCCAAUAUAACUAAAUAAAAGUGUACAAUGGUAAGCUGAAGAUAACUUCAAGGCAAGAAGACUACAAACGUGAAAAAUGUUAACAUCACAUUUUUAGGCUUAUUAGAAACAGUCUAAAUAAUUACACCAGUCAAAUUACUGGUGGCUUUUGGCUCCUAUCCGGGAUAAAGGUCAUGACCCAACAUAGCAAGACCCUGCAUGACACAAGUGAUUGACAAGAAGAGGAAAUAGAUUGAUACCUUUCACGUGGGAAUCACAGCUUGCUGCAGUAUAAGCAAAACACAUAUUUGGACUUUGUGGGAACAGUUCAUAGUGUUCUGAUUCAAAUUCUUUGUUCCCAAAGUUGUUUAAUGAUAAUUUAUUUGUGUGUGUGAUAAAACAGCUGAGUACCAUAAUAAAAUACAGAUCACUUGCUGUUGGCUAAAACAAUCACCGGAUAUGUCUUUGCUUUCUUUUCAUUGCAUUAUCUAUUGGGUAUUUGGCUUCAGGCAAAGAGAAAACUGUUUCUCAAAAGACUUUUUUCCAAUCCCUAUAUAGGAAAGUAUUAAUUUUUGUGUCUGUAGAUAAUUAUCUACAGUUCAUCCAUGAAGAGUAUAGAUGUUACCAUGUCAAAGGAAAUUAUGUAAAAGGGUACAUUAAAAUUUCUCAUAUUUCUGUAAUAAUGAGCAUAAGAUUAUCAUGUUGUAUCUCCAAUUCUGUGCUUUGUGUCCACUGAUAUGCCAAUGACCCAAUACACAGGGAGUAAGACAAGGGUUUUUUUUUUUAUAUAAGGGGGUUUUAUUCAGAGGCAGAUGAUGUACUGCUAAGCUUCACUUCCAUGACUCAUGAAGAACUUUAGCGAUUGACAAGAAGCUAAGAGCUAAUUUAUCAGCAAAGGUCAUUUUGUUUCCAGGUGUGGUACACAUAACAUUUGUGAGCCAUUUUGUUGUAAUGCAGAACUUGGUAAUCUGCACAUUAAAGUCACCUGGGGAACUUUUAAACCCUCAUCACUCCUCCAACCAAUUGGAUGGGACUCAGGCAUCAGUAUUUUAUACAACCUCCAGGAGAUUCCAAUAUCAGUCAUUGCUGAGUACCAUUGUUAAGUCAUAAUCAUUCAGAUGUACAGAUUUAUGCUACUGUAUACUGUAUACAUUAUUGAUGUUCUUUAUCAUUGUCUUUAUACUUUUUGAAAACAAAAUUUGUAUCACUCCACUUGCUAUUAAAGAAUAAAGAAAUCUUUUUAAA